rnacentral:tRNA from 1 species
UGUAGGGAUGGUGUAACGGCAACAUCACGGUCUCCAAAACCGUUAGUUCUAGGUUCAAAUCCUAGUCCCUGCGU